UUCCACCACCCCCAUCUACUCCCAUUCAUUUUCAAACCAUAACAUUUCUCACCCCCUUCCUUCUUUAUAUCUUUUCUCUAUUUAUAACCCACUCUACCGACCUUCCUAUCCACCCCCACUCUGUACCGUUUCUCAAAUGCCGCUAUGCACGUCGAUUUUGCUUCACUAUCACUGCUAUUGCAAGCAAAAAACCAGACAUAUUUCUAGGCGAUGCUGAGAAUCAGGCGUAUUUCCAGCGAACCUCUGUGUAACUUCCAUCAAUGACGUCACUAGUGCUGGUGGUAUAGUUCGCCAGUUUUGGGAUGAACUUUUUGAUUUUUGGUGGUGAAGGGAAAGUUUUGGGGCGAAUUAGGCCGUAGUGCUUGCAAAAGAUCUAGAUUUUUGUAUUUUUUAAUUAAUGUUCAUCAAUUUUUAGUGGUGGGUAGUUUUUUUAUCAGAUCUGUUGUUUAGCUAGAGUUUGCGCUUGUCUGGGGACGCCACCAAGCACUUAUUGGACCGUUGAAACAGUAGUCAUUAAUUUAAUAUUGUUAAAAAAUCUGACAACAAAUCAGUACGAUUGCAGGAAACAGUAGUUGGCCGUCUUCUUUUACCCUUCGACAUUUCACGCUCAAACCCACCACUCCCACAGAGCAACGCCAUUUCCAAACCGGUCGAACGAUUUCUUCCUCUUUGACUGAAAAACCCCUACAGGUUCAAGAGCACCAUGGAUCCAUAUUCCACCUCGGUUAGUAUUGAAAAUCUCUACUUUUUUCUACAAUUCUGCGGCCAUGAAUUCCUACUAUGAGAAAUCGCUGCUAUUGCAAAAUAGCUCGUAUAACUAAUAUUAACUUGUAAUUGCAUGUUAAGUAACAUAAAAUAUCUACUAAAUAGCAACAGUGACCGACGGCUACCCGUGAAACAAGAAGGCAAAUAUGCAUUUGGGAUACAAAAAUUGGAAAUGUGAUGCUGACAUAAAAACAUCUCUUUCCAUGUCUUCAGAUACAACCCAUAAGGGUUUCCCCUAAAGGGUUAAGGAAGGUGGUAUACAAUUUCUUUACAGAAACUUGUUGGUUGAAAUCUUAAAUCUUGUUUCCAGAAUUUAGUGCAAUAAUAGUUUCACGUUUGCCGGAAACAGUUGUAUCAUUUUUCUGUCUUUCUUUGUUUCUCUCCUUGAAUCACAAACCCAUUAUGUAAAAUUAAAUUUUGAGUUCAACAUUGUGCAGCCGUGAAUUACUACUACAUGGGAAAUCGCUUAUGCUACAAAAUUACAAAUUGGUUCUCUCUCCAUGUACGUGGAUCCAUAUAUGUUAUAUGUAUGUACUGGCAUUUUGUUGGGGCAAGCUCUGACAAUCGAAUUAUGGAAGGCCCGGGGAACAUAGGACCCGAAAAUUGUGAGUUGUUUUUGCCAAUUUCAUUCAUUUUCCAGAAAAUAAAUUUCGUGUGGUAAAAGGGAAAUUGGGGGAAUGAACGGGGGUUCCUUGUCCGAUUGUCCAGAAGGGUUUGGAUUUCAUAACUGAGUCGUUUAACAGAUCAAAUUUGUGUCAUUUCAUCGUUGAAUGAGAGAGCAGUUAUGUUUUGUAUAUUUCCAUGUACUACUUUGUAGUUCAGAUUUGUAUGUUUACAUGUAAGAAAACUCCGCAUCUCAUUUAUAUUUCAUUUUCCUUCUCAAACAUAGAUGGUCUUUCAUACUGCCUCUACUUCCAACCCCCACCAAUCUCGUCCUAAGCCCUUGGGAGGAGGACUACCCAGUCAACGUCAGAAGAUAAUCGAGUUUUCAUUGCCGCAUGUGAGACCGUAAUAGCCGACAGGCACCAUAAUGGGAAGUUCUUCACAAAACAUGGCUGGCACACGAUUGUCCAAUUGUUCAACACUAACUCCGAGUACAAUUGGAGUAGGCAGCAGUUGAAAAAUCACUAGGAUUAUCUUCGAGUCAAGUACAAAUGUCUCCAGGGCUUGAUAGACUGCAUAGGCAUCGCAUACGACUCUGCACGCAGUACCCUAGUCGCGUCCGACGAGUGGUGGGCACAAAAGAUUAAGGUACAAAGUUGCUUGAAUUGCCACUUUACAAAUUUAGAUUUCAACCAACACUCUAGUAUUCGUUUUAUUUGUGCAUGGAACUUUUACUGAAACAUGUUACAGUUCGAGCGUCAUCUGUGCGCUAUAGGAUUUGGUAGAAUAUUAGCAAAUAAUUGCAUAACCUUCUGAUUAAAAAAAAAAUUUGUAAUAUCGUAUAUCAUAAAAUUCAGUUGUGUAAUUUCAUAUUUUUAUUCCUUAUCCCGGCUUCUAACUUAUUUUGCAUUUCUUUUUCUUCCAUUCCGAACAGGAGAACAAAAAGUACAGAGAGUUCAAAGAUAAAGAUUGAGAGAGAUAUAUGCCUACAUGGUUCUGUUCAGUGAUGUGUUUGACAACGAGAAGUACACGACGACGCCGAUGAAGUUGUGCAGGACCAGGAUCGCCAUGUUUGAAGACAAUGCAAACGAUGGCACGCACGACGCAAUGCCGAUGUGCAAGGAGAGCAGAGCUCAAGCGAUGAGGGCAACAAGUAUGACAGGCCCUUAUCAAGCAUGGACGUCUCCAGCCGUAGGAGUGGAGAGAAAUAUAGAUCCAACGAUAGUAAAAAUAAGGAGAAGAGAACUAGAAUAUCAGUUAAGGAAUUGUCGUACUCAGUUGACAGAGCCACGAUCGCAAGUGGGAAAGUUGCGGUGAAACUUGAAAACUUAGUCAGAUCCAAUGUUCCAAGCAUGAAGACAUGCAUGAAGAAGUUGUUCGCGACAGGCAGGCUGCAAAAAAUACUAAUCUCUAAUUUUGGACGUACACGUUUCUGUCUUUAAAGCGGAACAUGGAGGUCUGGAGAUGCAGGAUGAUGCGAAUGAAAAGAUGGAUUGGUUGGAGUGGAACUGGCAUGAGUCCAGGAAAGGACGACCAUAGUGAGGACUGCAUGAGGGGCAGAAUAAAUUUUCCCUGUUGCGGAGAGUCCCGCGGAACUUAUUUUUUGCUUUCGUUUUUUUCCGUUUUCAUCAGUGUGCGGUUCAUCAACCUUUGAAUUUUGUUGUUGUGUACUUUUUAAGAUUUUCUGUAUCCAUAUAUGUACUACCAACUACUGAGAUUUCAUGUCCAUAUCUGUUGUGUGAACUUUUGUAAUGUUCACAAAGCUACUUGUUAGUUGGAGUUUGUCAACAAUUGUCAUGAAAAAUUGAGCAUCUCUGACAACCCCAUCUAUGUUAUAAAGUUCAG
rnacentral:lncRNA from 1 species